AGUGCAGACCGCCUUAUCGUCGUCUCGUCUUUACGGACGAGAGGGAGGAAAGUCCGGACACCAGAGAGAAGCAUAGCGGGUAACGCCCGUCGGGUUGAGCAAUCGAUCAAGGACAAGUGCAACAGAAAGUAUGUACAGGUAAUGCUGUAGUGAAACCAGGUAAACUCUAUGCGGUGAAAUUUCAAGUAUAUCGGUAGUUAAGGGCUUCUCGUCCGUUGCUGAAGGGUAGAAAGAUGGAGCUUGUGAGUAAUUGCAAGCCUAGAUAAAUGAUAAGGUAUCGUCUCGUUUUUAGGAACGAGACGAGAACAGAAUCCGGCUUAUAGGUCUGCUUUUUUU
rnacentral:RNase_P_RNA from 1 species